rnacentral:rRNA from 1 species
CCUACGGGUGGCAGCAGUCGAGAAUCAUUCACAAUGGGGGAAACCCUGAUGGUGCGACGCCGCGUGGGGGAAUGAAGUUCUUCGGAUUGUAAACCCCUGUCAUGUGGGAGCAAAUUACAACGAUAGUACCACACUAGGAAGAGACGGCUAACUAUGUGCCAGCAGCCGCGGGAAUACAGGGGUCUCAAGCGUUGUUCGGAAUCACUGGGCUUGAAGGGUGCGUAGGCUGUUUCGUAAGUCGUGUGUGAAAGGCGCGGGCUCAACCCGCGGACGGCACAUGAUACUGCGAGACUAGAGUAAUGGAGGGGGAACCGGAAUUCUCGGUGUAGCAGUGAAAUGCGUAGAUAUCGAGAGGAACACUCGUGGCGAAGGCGGGUUACUGGACAUUAACUGACGCUGAGGCACGAAGGCCAGGGGAGCGAAAGGGAUUAGAUACCCCUGUAGUC